GACGAACGCUGGCGGCGUGCUUAACACAUGCAAGUCGAACGCUGAAGCUCAGCUUUUGUUGGGUGGAUGAGUGGCGAACGGGUGAGUAACACGUGAGUAACCUGCCUCCUUCUUUGGGAUAACGCCCGGAAACGGGUGCUAAUACUGGAUAUUCACUGGUCUUCGCAUGGGGGUUGGUGGAAAGGGUUUUUCUGGUGGGGGAUGGGCUCGCGGCCUAUCAGCUUGUUGGUGGGGUGAUGGCCUACCAAGGCUUUGACGGGUAGCCGGCCUGAGAGGGUGACCGGUCACAUUGGGACUGAGAUACGGCCCAGACUCGUACGGGAGGCAGCAGUGGGGAAUAAUGCACAAUGGGCGCAAGACUGAUGCAGCGACGCCGCGUGAGGGAUGGAGGCCUUCGGGUUGUGAACCUCUUUCGCUCAUGGUCAAGCCGCAACAAUGGUUGUGGUGAGGGUAGUGGGUAAAGAAGCGCCGGCUAACUACGUG
rnacentral:rRNA from 1 species